UACGUAGGGCGCAAGCGUUGUCCGGAAUUAUUGGGCGUAAAGAGCUCGUAGGUGGCGUGUCGCGUCUGCCGUGAAAGCCCAUGGCUUAACUGUGGGUCUGCGGUGGAUACGGGCAGGCUAGAGGCUGGUAGGGGCAAGCGGAAUUCCUGGUGUAGCGGUGAAAUGCGCAGAUAUCAGGAGGAACACCGGUGGCGAAGGCGGCUUGCUGGGCCGUAACUGACGCUGAGGAGCGAAAGCGUGGGGAGCGAACAGG
rnacentral:rRNA from 1 species